UACGUAGGGGGCUAGCGUUGUCCGGAAUCAUUGGGCGUAAAGCGCGUGUAGGCGGCCCGGUAAGUCCGCUGUGAAAGUCCAGGGCUCAACCCUGGGAUGCCGGUGGAUACUGUCGGGCUCGAGUCCGGAAGAGGCGAGUGGAAUUCCUGGUGUAGCGGGUGAAAUGCGCAGAUAUCAGGAGGAACACCAAUGGCGAAGGCAGCUCGCUGGGACGUGACUGACGCUGAGACGCGAAAGCGUGGGGAGCAAACAGG
rnacentral:rRNA from 1 species